rnacentral:lncRNA from 1 species
GAAUGAUAUGUAAAACCCUUUUGUGAAGAAAUGUGAUGUAUAUGAGAGAUGGCAUUUUGGUUGUAUGUAUGAGAAGUAAAGUGAAAUAUGUAAUGGUUCAUGUAUGUGAACAAGUGAUGUAAUAGAUAGUUUAAAUUCUCUUGUAUCUGUGAUUGCCUCUCUCAAUGUUAAAUACUAACAUCUCUUGUUGGAUAUGCAUGCAUAGACUUUGUUACGUU